rnacentral:rRNA from 1 species
UGGUUCUGUAUGGAAGGGCCAUCGCUCAACGGAUAAAAGGUACUCCGGGGAUAACAGGCUGAUACCGCCCAAGAGUUCAUAUCGACGGCGGUGUUUGGCACCUCGAUGUCGGCUCAUCUCAUCCUAGGGCUGAAGCAGGUCCUAAGGGUAUGGCUGUUCGCCAUUUAAAGAGGUACGCGAGCUGGGUUUAGAACGUCGUGAGACAGUUCGGUCCCUAUCUACCGUGGGCGUUGGAAAUUUGAGAGGAUCUGCUCCUAGUACGAGAGGACCGGAGUGGACGAACCAAUAGUGUGCCGGUUGUGGCGCCAGCUGCAUUGCCGGGUAGCCAUGUUCGGAAGGGAUAAACGCUGAAAGCAUCUAAGUGUGAAGCCCACCUCAAGAUGAGAUGUCCCACCCCGAUUCGUCGGGGGUAAGACCUCCGGUAGACUACCGGUUAGAUAGGUCACGUGUGUAAUAACAGUAAUGUUUUUAGCUAAGUGAUACUAAUUGGUCGAGGGCUUGACCC